rnacentral:rRNA from 1 species
UACGAAGGGGGCUAGCGUUGUUCGGAAUUACUGGGCGUAAAGCGCGCGCAGGCGGUCUUCCAAGUCAGUGGUGAAAGCCCGGAAGCUCAACUCCGGAACUGCCAUUGAGACUGUGAGACUUGAGGAUGAGAGAGGUGAGUGGAAUUCCCAGUGUAGAGGUGAAAUUCGUAGAUAUUGGGAAGAACACCGUGGCGAAGGCGGCUCACUGGCUCAUUUCUGACGCUCAGGCGCGACAGCGUGGGGAUCAAACAGG